GACAAUUUGGUUAAAUGUAUAUUUAUAAGUGUAAAUUUAUUAUAUAUAGGUUCUAUACCAAAUAUUGCUACUCCCUACGUUUCACUUUAAAUUUUGCAUUGAAAACAUAAAACGACACUCAAAAUGAAACAAAUUUUUAACUCUAAAAUGACAAAUAAUACGAAACAAAGGGAGUAUAUUAUUUCAUAGAAGUUAUCAUACAUUAUGUUUUUUUAAUUAAAAACUGAUGGGGUUUUGACUAUAUACAUAUAUAUGAUUCGUGUUUUUAUAAGAUUCAUGUUCUUUAUGAUUCAUAAAUGAUACAUGACAGUUUUUUGGGACUGGGAAAUAUAAACUAUUCAUAAUUAUGUUCUUCUACAAAACUUCCUUACGUGACACUUAUUUUGAUUAAUAUUUUUUGAUUUUUAUGGGAUACAUGAUAUUUAUUUUUGGUAAUUUAUUUUGGGAAUCAUCAA
rnacentral:lncRNA from 1 species